CCUACGGGUGGCAGCAGUGAGGAAUAUUGGUCAAUGGGCGUAAGCCUGAACCAGCCAAGUCGCGUGAGGGAUGAAGGUCCUAUGGAUCGUAAACCUCUUUUAUAAGGGACAAAAGUGCGGGACGUGUCCCGUUUUGUAUGUACCUUAUGAAUAAGGAUCGGCAAACUCCGGUCCAGCAGCCCCGGUAAUACGGAGGGUCCGAGCGUUGUCCGGAUUUAUUGGGUUUAAAGGGGGCGUAGGCGGCCUUUUAAGUCAGCGGUGAAAGCCUGCGGCUCAACCGUAGAAGUGCCGUUGAAACUGGGAGGCUUGAGUGUGUUUGAGGAAGGCGGAAGGCGUGGUGUAGCGGUGAAAUGCUUAGAUAUCACGCAGAACCCCGAUUGCGAAGGCAGCCUGCCAAGCCAUGACUGACGCUGAUGCACGAAAGCGUGGGGAUCAAACAGGAUUAGAUACCCUUGUAGUC
rnacentral:rRNA from 1 species